AUUGAACGCUGGCGGCAUGCCUAACACAUGCAAGUCGAACGGCAGCACGGGUGCUGGCCCUUGGUGGCGAGUGGCGCACGGGAGAGAAACACAUGGGUACGCGUCCUGGUGGGGGGGAUCGCCCGGCGAAAGCCGGAUUAAUACCGCACACGCUGAACGGGAGAAAGCGGGGGCUCCUCAGCCCACGCGCUCAGGGGUUCCUAGGUCGGAUUUGCUCGUUGGUGGGGUAAAGGCCUACCAAGGCGACGAUCCGUAACUGGUCUGAGAGGAUGACCAGCCACACUGGGACUGAGACACGGCCCAGACUCCUACGGGAGGCAGCAGUGGGGAAUUUUGGACAAUGGGCGAAAGCCUGAUCCAGCCAUGCCGCGUGUGUGAAGAAGGCCUUCGGGUUGUAAAGCACUUUUGGCCGGAAAGAAGGCCUUGGAGCUAAUACCGUCGUGUUUUGACGUUACCGAAAGAAUAAGCACCGGCUAACUUCGUG
rnacentral:rRNA from 1 species